rnacentral:lncRNA from 1 species
CGGCUGCCAGUCCCGGGCCCCGCGCCCCCGCCCGCCCCCGGUCCCGCGCUCGCUCCCAUUCAGUCCCGGACCUUUCGCGGCCGGCGCGGAGGCGGAGGCGGGGAGAGGAGGGGCCACGACGGGGGCGGGGCCGGGGCCCCGCGUCACGAGGACGCGACAGACCAAUCGGAGCGCGCGGGGGCUCCCGCGGCGGCCUGGCUCCUGAGACGCGCAACCCGCCGCCCCGCUGGGUUGGGGAAGCGGGGAGCAGAGCGCCCCCAGCGGGACGCCCCGCAGGUUGGGCCGGCUGGGGCGCGGGGCCCAAGUGCCCCCAGCUCUCUCGAACUCUGCGUGCGGUUAGAUGGCGGAAGGGCAGAUGGACACUGCAUGGGUGCAAUGAAACUUCCACACGGAGGGCCUGAAGGUCUAUGACCUCUGUACCGAUAUAGGUGAUGAAGCGGAAACGUAGUAUGAUGGAGUGUGCAAAAUCAGCCUAAGAGGUCAGCCCUGCAUCUCUGCUGCCUCUUCAAAAUUACCUUGUCUGGUCAGGUUUGCUUUUUUUUUUUUUUUUUUAACUCAAGGGUUCUUUUAUAUUCCCGGCUAGGCUGUCGAGUCCUUGCAGGCAGGGACUUCGUCUUCUGUGAACAUUCCAUAGGAUGGACCCUAUUGCCUUGCUUUAGAGGUUAGGGCAAAUAACCUGAUAAGAAAUUAGCUCUGUUCUUCCCCCUCCCCCUAGUCUCAUUCUUAAAGAAGUGGAGGUAUUGUCGCCUCCCUCCACCUGCUCAGGAUGCCUGUACCCUAGGGAUUUGGGUUUCCCUUGCCCAAGCUAUGUUGGAUGGUCUCCUAGAGAGGCUGAGACCUAUCGCCAGUUCCUCAAAAAUACCCCAGGAGGUGGAGAACCUUUUAUAGGAAUGUCCAUGGAUGCCCAGGUACUGACCACUAAAUGACACAGCUGUGCGGGAAGCUGGAGGUACUGUGGUCAAGACCAUGGCUGGGCUAUGUGUGGCAUCUCUGGGGACCCUGGAAUAACAAACGUCCAGAACCAGACGUAAACGUAAAUGGUAACAACGACACCAAUCAUGGGCCAAGGAACAGGCCCCUGACCCAUUUUCCUGGCACCACAUAGGGUCUAGAGUUCUACUAUCAACUAGGAGGAGGGAACACCAACUAAUAUCAGUCACUAGUCAACCAGGCAUAACCAGACUUAGAAGAUAAGAGCACUGUUUUGCCAAUCCCGUGGG